GGGGAUUUAGCUCAGUGGCAUAAGUGCCUGCCUUACAAGCAGGCGAUCCUGAGUUCGCCCCUGAUCCCUG
rnacentral:tRNA from 1 species